CCUACGGGUGGCAGCAGUAGGGAAUUUUCGUCAAUGGGGGGAACCCUGAACGAGCAACGCCGCGUGAGUGAAGAAGGCCUUCGGGUCGUAAAGCUCUGUUGUAAGAGAAAAACGUUCAUGAUAGGGAAUGAUCACUAAGUGACGGUAUCUUACGAGUAAGCCACGGCUAACUACGUGCCAGCAGCCGCGGUAAUACGUAGGUGGCAAGCGUUAUCCGGAAUGAGUGGGCGUAAAGGGUGCGCAGGCGGAUGUGUAAGUCUGAGGUAAAAGCCAUCGGCUAAACCGAGGUAAGCAUUGGAAACUGUGGGUCGAGAGUGAAGGAGAGGACAGUGGAAUGCCAUGUGUAGCGGUAAAAUGCGUAGAUAUAUGGAGGAACACCAGUGGCGAAGGCGGCUGUCUGGUCUGUAACUGACGCUGAGGCACGAAAGCGUGGGGAGCGAAUAGGAUUAGAUACCCGUGUAGUC
rnacentral:rRNA from 1 species